rnacentral:rRNA from 1 species
GACGAACGCUGGCGGCGUGCCUAAUACAUGCAAGUCGAGCGGACCGAAGGGAGCUUGCUCCCUUAGGUUAGCGGCGGACGGGUGAGUAACACGUGGGCAACCUGCCCUGCAGACUGGGAUAACUUCGGGAAACCGGAGCUAAUACCGGAUAACACCGAAAACCGACAUGGUUUUCGGUUGAAAGGCGGCUUUUAGUCUGUCACUGCAGGAUGGGCCCGCGGCGCAUUAGCUAGUUGGUGAGGUAACGGCUCACCAAGGCGACGAUGCGUAGCCGACCUGAGAGGGUGACCGGCCACACUGGGACUGAGACACGGCCCAG